rnacentral:lncRNA from 1 species
GCCCACUUGAGGAGGAAGUCUGCCCGUUCUCAGAUCUCCAGCUGCAUGCUGGGAGAACCACUGCUCUCUUCCAAGCUGUCAGACAGGGACAUUUAAGUCUGCAGAGGUUACUGCUGUCUUUUUGUUUGUCUGUGCCCUGCCCCCAGAGGUGGAGCCUACAGAGGCAGGCAGGCCUCCUUGAGCUGUGGCGGGCUCCACCCAGUUCGAGCUUCCCGGCUGCUUUGUUUACCUAAGCAAGCCUGGGCAAUGGCGGGCGCCCCUCCCCCAGCCUCGCUGCCGCCUUGCAGUGUGAUCUCAGACUGCUGUGCUAGCAAUCAGCGAGACACCGUGGGCGUAGGACCCUCUGAGCCAGGUGUGGGAUAUAAUCUUGUGGUGCGCCGUUUUUAAAGCCGGUCUGAAAAGCGCAAUAUUCGGGUGGGAGUGACCCGAUUUUCCAGACACCAGUGACUGAACCUGACAAAGAUUUAUUUGCCACAAAUGAAAAGUCUACUGAGAUUGGCCAGCCUUCCUCCACAUCAGAUGAAAUUGCGUCAUCUGAAACACUGGCCAUCAUGUUUAUAUGCUGCCAAAGCACCACUGUCUACUAAGUUUUUGAGGAAACCAUAUUGCUAGAGAAACUGCAAGCCUGAGCAGCCUCCAAUUGUUGAAGACUUACAUCCAUCUUGGACCUCCAAACAUUCAUAAGCAGGAAGCAGGCCUCAAAAACUAUGGCCCCCAAAUGAGGGCUUGUUCCCCAACCCCCACUUUAGACAUGGAGAAGAAGAAUAAUGGACAAGGAGGCUCCUCCCAGAAGGAUCCAAGGACCCCUGAGGUUGGUGGACAAUGGACUUCCAGCACAGAUUGGAAUCAGAACACAAUCAAGGACACUGUCUCUCCAAUAGAAACUCUUCCUAUGUCUGCCCAGAGUAAUUCCUUAACUGUGAUGGACAAAGAGCUGUGGCAUCAUUGCUUUCCAUUUUUUGAAUGAAAGUUAUGGUGCAGUAAUCCUUUCCCUGCUCCAGCAGGUGAGGGGGUGGCAGAGAGGGGCCAAUAAUUUGUCAUUUUGUUCCUAGAUUGCCAGACCAAGAGGAGCUAUGUCUUGGUCUGCAAAAAAGAACCAGACAUUGCCACAAAUCCUGGGCUUGAGCUGAAUGCAGGGACUGGUGGGUUUCUCUGUUGUGUCCCUUGGAGAGGGAGUGAAGACUUCUUAUGCAGUGCCUCUCAACAUAUUCUAACCUUCCUGCCUGCUAGGCUUGCCAUGUGUUGUGUUCCAGACAGUAAAAUUUAAGCAGAAGUUCUGACUUUCUUACUGCUGGGCUAAGGUAGUUACGUACUAGUGUACUAGUGUGUCUCCCCACAAUGAACCUCCCACCUUCUUCCCACAAAGCCCAAGGGAUAAAAUUCAGGGCAAAUUAGAAUCCAAAAGAAGGAGCCACAAAGUGGAAGAAACCUGGAUGCCUGAGUCACUAUGUGGGGAAAACACCAACUAAAAAGCUUUAUGUGAUCCACAUUUGAUAUGAGUGAGAAAUAAAUUUUUGAUUGUUUUAGGCCAUU